AUACCUACCUAUAAGGCAAUAUACCAUGACCGCAAAGGUGGUUCUCUCAGAGUUAUGGUCAUCCAUUGUACCCCACGUGUGUUGACAUCUUGGAUUUACCCAAAUGUGGGUAAAUAAGCUUCAUAAAUUGUGGUUGUGCUAAGUUAACCUGUCAGACU